rnacentral:tRNA from 1 species
UCUGUGGUAGUUUAAUGGUCAGAAUGGGCGCUUGUCGCGUGCCAGAUCGGGGUUCAAUUCCCCGUCGCGGAG